GCAUCAACUCAUGACCACUAGAGCUUCUUGGACACGAUGCUGCCCUUGUACCCCUGCUGGUUCCUGUUUGGGUUUCCUACCUACCCCUUCAGCUGAGUUUCUUCCUAUUCCCUUCCUCCCUGACUGUUCCACCUGCCUGCAGUCUGAUUGCAGCAAUGAGAAUCAGCUGCCGUAAUUGGCUCACACCAGUCACCUGUUUGCAAUUCCACCUCCCAGCAUAUAAGCCAGCUCUGUCAUUCACUCCCUGCUCCACCAUGGAUGCGCACAUCCUGCAUCAACUCGUGACCACCAGAGCUUCUUGGACACGAUGCUGCCCUUGUACCCCUGCUGGUUCCUGUUUGGGUUUCCUACCUACCCCUUCAGCUGAGUUUCUUCCUAUUCCCUUCCUCCCUGACUGUUCCACCUGCCUGCAGUCUGAUUGCAGCAAUGAGAAUCAGCUGCCAUAAUUGGCUCACACCAGUCACCUGUUUGCAAUUCCACCUCCCAGCAUAUAAGCCAGCUCUGUCAUUCACUCUCUGCUCCACCAUGGACGUGCACAUCCUGCAUCAACUCGUGACCACCAGAGCUUCGUGGACACGAUGCUGCCCUUGUACCCCUGCCGGUUCCUGUUUGGGUUUCCUACCUACCCCUUCAGCUGAGUUUCUUCCCAUUACCAUCUGCUACAAAGCAUUACUGGGUAACAAAUACACCUAAUGAAGAUCAGAAAUAUUCAAGCAGAAACCUUCAGCUUCCAUGAAGAUUGAAAUCAUUCUGCCAUGAAGACCUAACAACCUUCAAAGACAAAUUGAAAAUGGGUAAGAAAUGAAAGUACACACUGUUUAGUCUAGACCAUCAUUUGUGCCAACGUCUGUGUUUUUAGAUUCUAUCAAGAUGGGAAAAAUAA
ensembl:lncRNA